rnacentral:misc_RNA from 1 species
AGCAGCCGCGGUAAUUCCAGCUCCAAUAGCGUAUAUUAAAGUUGUUGCAGUUAAAAGCUCGUAGUUGAAUUUCGGGAUUGGCGCAUCGGUCGUGCCUCACGGGGUAUGAACUGGUGCAGUCAAUUUCUCACCUUCUGGAGAACCGCGAUGUCCUUAAUUGGAUGCCGCGGGGAACCAGGGCCUUUACUUUGAAAAAUUGAGUGUUUAAAGCAGGCAUUUUUGCUUGAAUACAUUAGCAUGGAAUAAUAAAAUAGGACGGCAUGGUUCUAUUUUGUUGGUUUCUAGGACCACCGUAAUGAUUAAUAGGGAUAGUUGGGGGCAUUAGUAUUCAAUUGUCAGAGGUGAAAUUCUUGGAUUUAUUGAAGACUAACUACUGCGAAAGCAUUUGCCAAGGAUGUUUUCAUUAAUCAAGAACGAAAGUUAGGGAUCGAAGACGAUCAGAUACCGUCGUAGUCUUAACCAUAAACUAUGACCGACUAGGAAUCAGACGAUUGUUAAUUUUUAAUGUACUCGUUUGGCU